AAGAUUCUGUCAUUCUGAAAAUCAGAGUAUUUAAGACAUUAUGUUACAUAGCGAUUUGUGGAGAUAAAUGCCCUCGGACAGUAGCGUUCAUUUCAUAUUAAGUCUCUUUAAGUCAUUGUUUUAUGUUAUGCAGGAUGAAUGUGCGAAUUUUAAUUAAUCAUCCUUUAAGGGUUAUAUGCUUACGGUGUUGUAUACUAUUCUCGGUGAACAAGUUAACUUAUAAAAGUCUGUUCCUCUAAUUAUAGAAUAAUAUAUAGAAUAAUUAUACAAGAGCUAUAAUUAUUAUGAUGUUAUUAUUUAAUUGUGUGGGCCGUGUUGCUUGAUUACAUUUGACUCUUCGGCACGUGGGACGCUGCCGGUUUGAAAGACGCAGCUUCACUUGUUUUCUGCACCAAGAUGACGAGAAACAAACGAAUUGCAAAAGCUGUCAGCUGGAGCAACGAUCGAUACUGGGCAACUUGGGACAAGUGGAUGGAAGUGAUUGACUGGGAAGAUGAGGAAGAGCUGUGCUCCCCAGCAGAAUCACCCUCUGACCAGGCUGACCGUUCCAUCGUGUCACACACCCGAAAGCCAAUUGCCAAGGCAGUUAGCUGGACGGAUGAUGUGUAUUGGGCAGCCUGGGACAAGUGGGAUGAGAUCAUCUGCUGGGGUGAAGAAGGAGAGUGCUCCCCAGCAACUCCACCCAUCAACCAGCCUGGGAGGGAUAAGGGGUUAGACAUGCAUGGGUUAGAGGUUUUUCUGUUAAAUGAAAGGACAGUCUCCAUAAAGCCUGCAGAUGACCACCAAGACAGGCUGAAAAUAGGAGCCGUAGUGGUCGACCUCUGCCAGUUUGAGCUAGAUGGUGUAAAUGAUAAAUUUGAAAUUGUCGAAAUACAAAUUGGAGAGGUCAAAUUGGAGGAGACUGCAGAGAGGGGUUUUAAUUCAGAAUUUGAAUUGGAAAUUAUGGAUGUGGAGAUAGAGGUUGUAGACAGUGAAUUCCAGCUGAAUGCUCUUAAUUGGGAAAUUGCUGGAACUAAAGUGGACAAAUUAUUAGUGGAACACCUGAACAUAAAUAAUCUAGAAGCAGGCAGUGUGAAGGUGUCCACAUCAAAUGGGAAUGUGGUAUAUGUCAAUGGUAUGUGAGUGUGUUUGGUAAUGAUGGGUGUGAAUGGUGUGUGUAAGUGGUGUGUGUGUGUGUAUGAGAAUGGUGAUUGAAUGGUGUGUGUGAGUGACAGGUGUGUGAAUGGUGUGUGUGAGGUAAUGGCGUGUGUGAGUGAGUGUGAGUGGUAAUGGCGUGUGUGAGUGAAUGGUGUGUGUGAGUAUAUGGUGUAUGUGAAUGGUCUAUGUGUGUGUGAAUGGGGAGUGAAUGGUGUGUGAGUGACUGGUGUGUGUCUGGUGUUUAUGAAUGGUGUGUGUGAGUGAAUGCUGUGUGAAUGGUGUUUAUGAAUGGUGUGUGUGUGAGUGAAUGCUGUGUGAGUGACUGGUGUGUGAAUGGUGUUUAUGAAUGGUGUGUGAAUGAAUGGUGAGUGUUUGUGUGUGUGUGUGUGUGUGUGAAUGAUCUGUGUGUGUGAGCCUGCCCUGUGAUGGGUUGGUGUCCCAUCCUGGGUUGUUCCCUGCCUCGUGCCUGUAGCCUCUGGGAUCCAUCUGACCGCCUGUUCCAAAAGGCAAAUUGAUCCCCACAUCCCUGAACAGGAGAAGCGGUUUUAGAAAAUGGAUAAAUGUUCCCAGAGGUGUGAGGCAACAGUGCUAACCACUGUACCAUGCAUAUGUAUAGGAUAUGUAGAAGAAUACCUGUUGCAGUUAUCUGAUGUGUGUGUUUUUCACUCUCCCUGCCGGCCCCUGGAGGUUUGGGCUUCCCCUUUGAGUCUGGUGCCUCCCAAGGUUUCUUCCUUCUAGGGAGUUUUUCCUUGCCACUGUCGCCUAUGGCUUACUCACUGGGGGCUUUGGGUGGGGGUGCUCUAAAGCGCUUUGAGACAAUGUAAUGUUGUGAUAUCGUGCUAUACUUUGUUGUGUAAUUUUCUAUUUAC